rnacentral:rRNA from 1 species
UACGUAGGGUGCGAGCGUUGUCCGGAAUUAUUGGGCGUAAAGAGCUCGUAGGCGGUGUGUCACGUCGGCCGUGAAAACCUGGGGCUUAACUCUGGGCGUGCGGUCGAUACGGGCAUCACUAGAGUUCGGCAGGGGAGACUGGAAUUCCUGGUGUAGCGGUGAAAUGCGCAGAUAUCAGGAGGAAGACCAGUGGCGAAGGCGAGUCUCUGGACAGUUACCGACGCUGAGGCACGAAGGUCAGGGGAGCAAACGGG